rnacentral:rRNA from 1 species
UACAGAGGGUGCUAGCGUUGUUCGGAAUCAUUGGGCGUAAAGGGCGCGUAGGCGGCUUCUCAAGCGUGCGGUGAAAGUCAGGGGCUCAACCCCUGAUCGGCCGUGCGAACUGGGGGGCUGGAGCACUGUAGAGGCAGGCGGAAUUCCGGGUGUAGCGGUGGAAUGCGUAGAGAUCCGGAAGAACACCGGUGGCGAAGGCGGCCUGCUGGGCAGUGGCUGACGCUGAGGCGCGACAGCGUGGGGAGCAAACAGG